AUUGAACGCUGGCGGCAGGCCUAACACAUGCAAGUCGAGCGGUAGCACAGAGAGCUUGCUCUCGGGUGACGAGCGGCGGACGGGUGAGUAAUGUCUGGGAAACUGCCUGAUGGAGGGGGAUAACUACUGGAAACGGUAGCUAAUACCGCAUAACGUCGCAAGACCAAAGUGGGGGACCUUCGGGCCUCAUGCCAUCAGAUGUGCCCAGAUGGGAUUAGCUGGUAGGUGGGGUAACGGCUCACCUAGGCGACGAUCCCUAGCUGGUCUGAGAGGGUAACCCGCCACACUGGAACUUAGACACGGUCCAGACGCCUACGGGUGGCAGCAGUGGGGAAUAUUGCACAAUGGGCGCAAGCCUGAUGCAGCCAUGCCGCGUGUGGGAAGAAGGCCUUCGGGUUGUAAAGCACUUUCAGCGGGGAGGAAGGCGAUAAGGUUAAUAACCUUGUCGAUUGACGUUACCCGCAGAAGAAGCACCGGCUAACUCCGUGCCAGCAGCCGCCGUAAAAC
rnacentral:rRNA from 1 species